CUUCAAUGGUGGAUCCUAUGUCAUCAACAAAUUCUUGAAAUCUGCUAGCUUUGGCAGGCUCAUUCACAUAGUAUUCACUUGAUGGCACAUCGUCAUAUGAUCUAGUAAAAUUAAGUGCAGCUUUUUGAAAAUAAUAUGGAACGUGGGUCACAACGUAUUCACUUUAUGGCACAUCAUCAAUCAACUGCAAUGCAGCUUUUUGAACAUAAAGCGCAAUUCCUACUUUUUCCUGUAACACAACAGACAGCCUUGAGUUUGGUAUACUAAUUUCAAUGUCAAAAUCAUUUUGUACCAUUUAUCAAUUCAGUUCACACUCCCUUUAAAUUCUUAAGGUACUGAAACUCUCUACAUUACACCAAUUUAACAAAACUCACAAAGUUCGUACCCCAACAGAAACAACACAAAAUCACCAUUGGAUGAGAAGUGAUAAGGCUUAAUAACUAAUCAUCACAUGACCACACAAGAUAAAGUCACAUCAUCUGGGAUACAGACUUUGUAUCCAGCUUUGUAAGCCUAUCAUUAUAGUUAACGAAAAUAUGAGAGUUGGAUUAACCCUCAGUUCAAACAAAAAUUGUUUCAACAAAAGAAGAUAAUAAAGGAAUGAAAGUGCGAGUAAAAUAGAACUUGCAUUUUGAGCUUGUUAUCCCUUGUCUCCGCACGCUUGGCGAGAUUGGCAACUGUUAAUGAAUUAAUUAAGUAUAAGCCUAGUGUGCUGAAGUGGCAACGUGUUGGACAAUAAAAGAACAUAAGUCUAGUGUGCUGGAGAGUCAAGGUGUUGGGCAUGUGUAACUUG
rnacentral:lncRNA from 1 species